UAGUCUCCUUGUUUGAUGCAAACGCAAAGC
rnacentral:piRNA from 1 species